CUUUGACGAGCUUUCCAUUUCCGUGACAGUGACGUCAUCGCCUUCAGGUCAGCCUGCGCCGAGUUAAUCCACUUUCGCUUGCUGCACUAAUGACCACUUUAUUGUUUGACGUGUUUAAUUAGCUGCACUAAUGACCACUUUAUUGUUUGACGUGUUUAAUUAGCUGCACUAAUGACCACUUUAUUGUUUCGUGUGUUUAAUUAGCUGCUUGCUAACUAGCGACAAGCUAACGUUAGCAAACAAGAGCCCGUCGCCGGUCUCGAUUAUGGUCACCGCGGGGCGGAACCGCCACGGAAUAUUCCGUGUGUAGCGGGACUUUUGAGGCCACUUGCUGGCGUCCCCGCCCAGCUCACCUGCCUGACGGCCGGACUGAAGAGGAAGUCACCAGCCUCCUUGAGGUCCAGCCAUAUCAUCGGCAUGCGGGGGACCGCCUCCAUCUUUGGCCGGCCGCUGGCGGUGCCCUCCGCCGCUGAGAUGCCACACAAGGUGGGUUCAGA